CAUGCAAGUCGAACGCCCCGCAAGGGGAGUGGCAGACGGGUGAGUAACGCGUGGGAAUCUACCCAGUUCUACGGAACAACACAGGGAAACUUGUGCUAAUACCGUAUACGCCCCAAGGGGGAAAGAUUUAUCGGAAUUGGAUGAGCCCGCGUUGGAUUAGCUAGUUGGUGGGGUAAUGGCCUACCAAGGCGACGAUCCAUAGCUGGUCUGAGAGGAUGAUCAGCCACACUGGGACUGAGACACGGCCCAGACUCCUACGGGAGGCAGCAGUGGGGAAUAUUGGACAAUGGGCGAAAGCCUGAUCCAGCCAUGCCGCGUGAGUGAUGAAGGCCUUAGGGUUGUAAAGCUCUUUCAGUGGGGACGAUAAUGACGGUACCCACAGAAGAAGCCCCGGCUAACUUCGUGCCAGCAGCCGCGGUAAUACGAAGGGGGCUAGCGUUGUUCGGAUUUACUGGGCGUAAAGCGCACGUAGGCGGAUCGUUAAGUGAGGGGUGAAAUCCCAGGGCUCAACCCUGGAACUGCCUUUCAUACUGGCGAUCUUGAGUCCGGGAGAGGUGAGUGGAACUCCUAGUGUAGAGGUGGAAUUCGUAGAUAUUAGGAAGAACACCAGUGGCGAAAGGCGGCUCACUGGGUCCGGUACUGACGCUG
rnacentral:rRNA from 1 species